AGAGUUUGAUCCUGGCUCAGAACGAACGCUGGCGGCAGGCCUAACACAUGCAAGUCGAACGUGAAGCCACCUUCGGGUGGUGGAAAGUGGCAGACGGGUGAGUAACGCGUGGGAACGUGCCUUUCGGUUCGGAAUAACCCAGGGAAACUUGGGCUAAUACCGGAUACGCCCUUCGGGGGAAAGAUUCAUCGCCGAAAGAUCGGCCCGCGUCGGAUUAGCUAGUUGGUAGGGUAAUGGCCUACCAAGGCGACGAUCCGUAGCUGGUCUGAGAGGAUGACCAGCCACACUGGGACUGAGACACGGCCCAGACUCCUACGGGAGGCAGCAGUGGGGAAUAUUGGACAAUGGGCGAAAGCCUGAUCCAGCCAUGCCGCGUGGGUGAAGAAGGCCUUAGGGUUGUAAACCCCUUUCAGCGGGGAAGAUAAUGACGUACCCGCAGAAGAGCCCCCAA
rnacentral:rRNA from 1 species